GACGAACGCUGGCGGCGUGCUUAACACAUGCAAGUCGAACGGAAAGGCCCUGCUUUUGUGGUGUGCUCGAGUGGCGAACGCGUGAGUAACACGUGAGUAUCCUGCCCUUGACUUUGGGAUAACUUCACGAAACUGGGGCUAAUACCGGAUCGGAUCUCCUGCAGCAUGGUGGGGGUUGGAAAGUCUCGGCGGUUGGGGAUGGACGCGCGGCUUAUCAGCUUGUUGGUGGGGUAGUGGCUUACCAAGGCUUUGACGGGUAGCCGGCCUGGGAGGGUGACCGGCCACAUUGGGACUGAGGUAGGGCCCAGACUCCAACGGGAGGCAAUAGUGGGGAGUAUUGCACAAUGGGCGGGAGCCUGAUGCAGAGACGCCGCGUGCGGGAUGACGGCCUUCGGGUUGUGAACCGCUUUCGCCUGUGACGAAGCGUGAGUGACGGUAAUGGGUAAAGAAGCACCGGCUAACUACGUG
rnacentral:rRNA from 1 species